rnacentral:lncRNA from 1 species
UUGAUUGUCCUGAAGCUAAUUUUUUCAAUAGUAGUAAUAUAAGAGGUAGAAGUAAGGGAUGUAAAUAGAUGAUUUGAUUUUUAAAAGUAAGAAGUUACUUGUUCAUCUUGAAAAAUCAUGUUCAAAUAAUUUAUCUUUCGUUUUAUACCUUCUCCUAGUCUACUCAUGUCUACAACUUGGACCUUGCAUAUCCAGUGAGGUGUUUCAGGG